UACGAAGGGUGCAAGCGUUACUCGGAAUUACUGGGCGUAAAGCGUGCGUAGGCGGUUUGUUAAGUCUGUCGUGAAAGCCCCGGGCUCAACCUGGGAAUGGCGAUGGAAACUGGCGAGCUAGAGUACGGUAGAGGAGAGUGGAAUUCCCGGUGUAGCAGUGGAAUGCGCAGAUAUCAGGAGGAACACCAAUAGCGAAGGCAGCUCGCUGGGACGGUACUGACGCUGAGGCGCGAAAGCGUGGGGAGCGAUCCGG
rnacentral:rRNA from 1 species